CAGCUGCUUAGAAAAUGACUCAUUGGUCUCUCUCCUCAUUGCCUGUCAUCCGACUGAUGAAACCUCCAGUUGGGAAUAAAAUGAUCAAAGGGGCUGAAGUGGAGCGGACUGCGACUGUGUGGACACGACCACACCUGCGUGUUUCAAAGCUUCUCAACCUGCUGAAUGAAGAACAAAUGGGGACUUGGCUUUAAGGCUGUUGGAAAAUUCCAGAUGCCAAAUGAUGGUGGUUUGGACUGGAGCUGGAGCUAGAUAGAGACAGUUGGGAAGAACCCACCCCUGUAGAAAAGGUCACUUGGGUAUAUAUCUACUGCACUGCUGAUAACCAAGGAAAGGCUUACAGAGCAAGGUGCAGGUACAACAUGCAUGCUGCAUUUUUUACGGUACAUCUGUUAGGGGCUGAAAUGCCCUAACUCCCAAUACCUCCAAAUUGGACUGCAUCUGGAGACAGGCUCUUUAAAGAAAUGAUUGAGUCAGCAUAAGGUCCUUAGGGUGGGCCCUCAUCCAAUCUUCCUAAUAGCAAGAGUAAACUUAAACACAGAGAGACACCAGGGGCACACAUGCACAGAGGGAAAACCACGCCAAGAGCCUCCAAGAAGACAGCCAUCUACAAGCCAGGGAGAGAGGUCUCAGAUGAAACCCCCCUCCCCCAACCCUCACCGCACUGGCACCUUGAUCUUAACCUUCCAGCCUCCAGAACUGAUCAAAUAAAUGUCUUUUGUUUAAGCCAC
rnacentral:lncRNA from 1 species